AGCGAACGUUAGCGGCGGGCCUAACACAUGCAAGUCGCGGGAGAAAAGGGCUUCGGCCCCGAGUAAACCGGCGCACGGGUGAGUAACACGUAGGUAAUCUGCCCUCCGGUGGGGGACAACCGGCCGAAAGGCUGGCUAAUACCGCAUCCGUCGGCGAGGACUGCGGUCCUUGUCGGGAAAGCGGGCCUCUCCAUGGAAGCUCGCGCCGGAGGAGGAGCCUGCGUCCCAUCAGCUAGUUGGUGAGGUAAGGCUCACCAAGGCUUCGAUCUGUAGCUGGUCUGAGAGGACGGCCAGCCACACUGGCACUGACACACGGGCCAGACUCCUACGGGAGGCAGCAGUGGGGAAUUUUGGGCAAUGGGCGAAAGCCUGACCCAGCAACGCCGCGUGAGGGAGGAAAUCCUUGGGAUGUAAACCUCACAAGCAAGGGAAGAGAGCUCAGGGCCGAAUAAGCUUUGAGUCCGACGGUACCUUGCGUAAGCCACGGCUAACUACGUGCCAGCAGCC
rnacentral:rRNA from 1 species